rnacentral:snoRNA from 11 species
CUGCUGUGAUGAGUCUGAACUCUCUCUUACUGAAUCAGCCUUUGAAGAAACCUCUUUACCAGAUUCUGAGCAGC